GCUUCCCUCGCUCUGCCCUCCCUUGCACCAGAACGUGAUAUGUUCUCAGAACCAGCAAGGUCAACAAGGUUCAGUUUGCCGCAUUUGAUCAUCUCUUCCCCUUCUGGAGUGCAUUCCUUGAUGUGAAUUGUGAUAGAAAAAAUAGAGUGAGAACGACUACUCUGUUUGUUAAGAAGAGUCUCUGCUGUACGCCUCUUAGCUGAACCUUUCUCCAAGAUCUUAUAGAUUUCAUUUGCAGUGGAAACAAUCUCCUCUUCCAAGCCUCUAACCAAAACUCCACCCUUACCAUCUUCCAUCAGUGCUAUUGGUUUUUUGGAUUUAUCAUCUACAUACUUUGUGCAUUCCUCGGGAGCUAAAAGAUCUGUGAUCUCCUCAUUAUAAAGCUCCAAAUGUGUUACUUUCAUACUAUAUUCAGCAUUUUGAGCUUCCAAUAUCU
rnacentral:misc_RNA from 1 species